UUGACUGGGAGGGAGUUGUUCCAUGAUAUUUAAACUGGAACCAAAGCCAAACCUGGGGUUGAAAUAUAUACUCCCUAAUUUUUUGCUCGCCAACUUGAUUUUGGCCAAACUUGGCCUGUUUCUCCUUGCUAUUCAAAAAAUUUAACAGACCGCUUUCACACCAUUAAUAAGGUAGAGGCACAAGCUAUAGAUGCUCGCCACAUUCUUUUGAUGAGUAAAUUUUCAUUAGCCCCCUUCAAUUCUAGCCGUGUCAUCCAUCUCCUUUUUGAACAACUCUGGCUAUUAGUGAAGCGCAGAUUGUCUGCAAUUAAUGACAGUCGUGCUUUCCAUUCACUGGAUCAGCCAAACACUUCUUCCACUUCUCCUAUUUUGGUCACCCUUGUGUCCAUUAGGAAUCAUUCCUCCCCUGCUCGUGCUAAACAAUCUAUUCGUCCAUCUACUUCUCUACCUGCCAAGGCUACUUCAACUAAGAGUGCCUUAAGCCGCAAACGGCCAGCUUCAACAUCUCCCAUUUUUGAGGAUGAUGAUGAUGAUGACGCUCCUCUCAUCGUU
rnacentral:lncRNA from 1 species